AGACUAAAACGCAGCUAUAAUGUCAGUGUCAGAAGCGUUCUUGUGUGUUUGUUCUCCAGGUCUCUACCACGCUCUUGUGAUCUGCUUCUGUCUUGGGGGUCAUGUUGCAUUCUGCACAUCGCUCGCUCUGUUGGAGCAGUAGUCCUGGAUACCUGGCAGAAGAAACAGAAAAUGCUAAAUCUGCAUUAAAUCAGCAGAUUAAAGAUAAAUCUGCUGAGAUCUAAUCAGGAAUUAGACCAGCCUAACAAACAAGUCAUCAAAAAAAAAAAAAAGGGACUUCACUAGAAAAGGGAAUGUGACCAAGUGUACGUCAUACUUCCCCACUUCCAAAGGAUAGAAAAAGACACUGAAUUAUGAAAGAAAUGGAAUAUGGGAAA